GACGAACGCUGGCGGCGUGCCUAAUACAUGCAAGUUGAGCGCUGAAGGUUGGUACUUGUACCAACUGGAUGAGCAGCGAACGGGUGAGUAACGCGUGGGGAAUCUGCCUUUGAGCGGGGGACAACAUUUGGAAACGAAUGCUAAUACCGCUUAAAAACUUUAAACACAAGUUUUAAGUUUGAAAGAUGCAAUUGCAUCACUCAAAGAUGAUCCCGCGUUGUAUUAGCUAGUUGGUGAGGUAAAGGCUCACCAAGGCGAUGAUACAUAGCCGACCUGAGAGGGUGAUCGGCCACAGUGGGACUGAGACACGGCCCAAACUCCUACGGGAGGCAGCAGUAGGGAAUCUUCGGCAAUGGACGAAAGUCUGACCGAGCAACGCCGCGUGAGUGAAGAAGGUUUUCGGAUCGUAAAACUCUGUUGGUAGAGAAGAACGUUGGUGAGAGUGGAAAGCUCAUCAAGUGACGGUAACUACCCAGAAAGGGACGGCUAACUACGUG
rnacentral:rRNA from 1 species